GUCCCUGUAGCGCAAUGGAUAGCGCGUUGAACUUCUGAUUCAAAGGUCGUAGUUUCGAAUUAUACCUGGGAGG
rnacentral:tRNA from 1 species